GAUGAACGCUGGCGGCGUGCCUAAUACAUGCAAGUCGAGCGAACGGACGAGAAGCUUGCUUUUCUGAUGUUAGCGGCGGACGGGUGAGUAACACGUGGAUAACCUACCUAUAAGACUGGGAUAACUUCGGGAAACCGGAGCUAAUACCGGAUAAUAUUUUGAACCGCAUGGUUCAAAAGUGAAAGACGGUCUUGCUGCCACUUAUAGAUGGAUCCGCGCUGCAUUAGCUAGUUGGUAAGGUAACGGCUUACCAAGGCAACGAUGCAUAGCCGACCUGAGAGGGUGAUCGGCCACACUGGAACUGAGACACGGUCCAGACUCCUACGGGAGGCAGCAGUAGGGAAUCUUCCGCAAUGGGCGAAAGCCUGACGGAGCAACGCCGCGUGAGUUAUGAAGGUCUUCGGAUCGUAAAACUCUGUUAUUAGGGAAGAACAUAUGUGUAAGUAACUGUGCACAUCUUGACGGUACCUAAUCAGAAAGCCACGGCUAACUACGUG
rnacentral:rRNA from 1 species